rnacentral:rRNA from 1 species
AGAGUUUGAUUAUGGCUCAGGAUGAACGCUGGCGGCGUGCCCAACACAUGCAAGUCGAACGGGGUGUCUGAUCUUCGGACUGGACACUUAGUGGCGGACGGGUGAGUAACGCGUGGGUAACCUGCCUCAUACAGGGGGAUAGCAGUUGGAAACGACUGAUAAUACCGCAUAAGCGCACAGUACCGCAUGGUACAGUGUGAAAAACUCCGGUGGUAUGAGAUGGACCCGCGUCUGAUUAGCUUGUUGGCGGGGUAACGGCCCACCAAGGCGACGAUCAGUAGCCGGCCUGAGAGGGUGAACGGCCACAUUGGGACUGAGACACGGCCCAAACUCCUACGGGAGGCAGCAGUGGGGAAUAUUGCACAAUGGGGGAAACCCUGAUGCAGCGACGCCGCGUGAAGGAUGAAGUAUUUCGGUAUGUAAACUUCUAUCAGCAGGGAAGAUGAUGACGGUACCUGACUAAGAAGCCCCGGCUAACUACGUGCCAGCCGCCGC